rnacentral:rRNA from 1 species
UAAGGAAUAUUGGACAAUGGAGGCAACUCUGAUCCAGCCAUGCCGCGUGAAGGAAUAAGGCCCUAUGGGUUGUAAACUUCUUUUAGACGGGACAAAACCCCUUUACGUGUAAAGGGUUGAUGGUACUGUCAGAAUAAGCAUCGGCUAACUUCGUGCCAGCAGCCGCGGUAAUACGAAGGAUGCAAGCGUUAUCCGGAAUUAUUGGGUUUAAAGGGUGCGUAGGCGGACUAAUAAGUCAGUGGUGAAAGCCUGCAGCUUAACUGCAGAAUUGCCAUUGAUACUGUUAGUCUUGAGUACAGUUGAGGUAGGCAGAAUGUGUCAUGUAGCGGUGAAAUGCUUAGAUAUGACACAGAACACCGAUUGCGAAGGCAGCUUGCUAAGCUGUAACUGACGCUGAGGCACGAAAGCGUGGGGAGCAAACA